CACACACACACACACACAGCUGGAGAAACUCAGAGAAGCCCCGCCCCUCUCCGUCGUCACGGCAACAGAGGCAGAUUCCUUCCUGAGUCCGUCUGGUCCAAUCGCUGCCCGCGCCCGAGACUCCCACAAUGCACUGCUACAGGCGGGCCGGCUGCCCUGGUGGAGGACGGGGGGCGAUGAUGACACAUUUAGCCCCGCCCCCCUGCAGGAGCUGGAGGCGGAGCUGGGGGGACUCUUUGUGGGGGGGCAAAUAAAAAUUUGAUGUGAUAUAUUUAUUUUAUUUUCCUGAGUAACUCACAUUCAAAGUCGUUUUGUUUUUGCAAUAAUUUCUGUUUGUGGGGGGGGCAGUCGGGGUCAACAUUUAAACUGUUGUUUUUAUUAAUUUUAGGGAAAAACUCAGCUAAAACAUGUUUUUGUAGGUCUUAUAAUUGUCUAUUUUGUCGUGUUUUUUCAAUCGUAUAAAUCCAAAGUAUAGUGUUGUGUAAAAUAUAUCUAAAAAAUGCAAUACACCGGAAAAUGUGUGGCUUUCUGCUGCCCUGAUCAACGGGGAGCUCAUUCCACCAUUUUGGAGCCAGAACAGCAAGCCCACGUGUUUUACACCUCUUAUUAAUGAUCAUUAAAACAUCAAGGAAACAAAUGCAUUUCUGUUUCCCUUCUCACACGUUUAUUCUUCUAAGCUGAUAGAUAUAUUUGUUUUAUUGCAAUAACCACUGUCCAGCAGCAGGGGGUGCUCCACGUCCUCUGAGCAGCUUAAACUAAUAUUCUUGUUGUAGAUAUAUUAGAAAAUGUUUUUUUUGUUUUUACUCAUUUUCCCCUCUGUGUUUAAGAGGUGCCUCUUUAAAUGUCGUGUGUGUGUGUGUGUGUGUGUGUGUGUGUGUGUGUGUGUGUGUGUGUGUGUGUGUGUGUGUGUGUGUGUGUGUGUGUGUGUGUGUGUGUGUGUGUGUGUGGUAUGGAUGGAUGUAGUAUUGAUUAUAGCUGCAGCAGAGAUCAGCUGUUGUUA